UACGGAAGGUCCAGGCGUUAUCCGGAUUUAUUGGGUUUAAAGGGAGCGUAGGCUGGAGAUUAAGUGUGUUGUGAAAUGUAGGCGCUCAACGUCUGAAUUGCAGCGCAUACUGGUUUCCUUGAGUACGCACAACGUUGGCGGAAUUCGUCGUGUAGCGGUGAAAUGCUUAGAUAUGACGAAGAACUCCGAUUGCGAAGGCAGCUGACGGGAGCGCAACUGACGCUUAAGCUCGAAGGUGCGGGUAUCAAACAGGAUUAGAUACCCUGGUAGUCAAGGGCG
rnacentral:rRNA from 1 species